rnacentral:rRNA from 1 species
GGCCCGAACUCCUCGGAGGCAGCAGUGGGGAAUAUUGGCCAAUGGGGGCAACCCUGAUCCAGCCAUGCCGCGUGUGUGAAGAAGGCCCUCGGGUUGUAAAGCACUUUCAGCGAGGAAGAACGCCUAGUGGUUAAUACCCAUUAGGAAAGACAUCACUCGCAGAAGAAGCACCGGCUAACUCCGUGCCAGCAGCCGCGGUAAUACGGAGGGUGCAAGCGUUAAUCGGAAUUACUGGGCGUAAAGCGCGCGUAGGUGGCUUGAUAAGCCGGUUGUGAAAGCCCCGGGCUCAACCUGGGAACGGCAUCCGGAACUGUCAGGCUAGAGUGCAGGAGAGGAAGGUAGAAUUCCCGGUGUAGCGGUGAAAUGCGUAGAGAUCGGGAGGAAUACCAGUGGCGAAGGCGGCCUUCUGGACUGACACUGACACUGAGGUGCGAAAGCGUGGGUAGCAAACAGGAUUAGAUACCCUGGUAGUCCACGCCGUAAACGAUGUCGACCAGCCGUUGGGUGCCUAGAGCACUUUGUGGCGAAGUUAACGCGAUAAGUCGACCGCCUGGGGAGUACGGCCGCAAGGUUAAAACUCAAAUGAAUUGACGGGGGCCCGCACAAGCGGUGGAGCAUGUGGUUUAAUUCGAUGCAACGCGAAGAACCUUACCUACCCUUGACAUCUACAGAAGCCGGAAGAGAUUCUGGUGUGCCUUCGGGAACUGUAAGACAGGUGCUGCAUGGCUGUCGUCAGCUCGUGUUGUGAAAUGUUGGGUUAAGUCCCGUAACGAGCGCAACCCUUGUCCUUAUUUGCCAGCACGUAAUGUCGGGAACUCUAAGGAGACUGCCGGUGACAAACCGGAGGAAGGUGGGGACGACGUCAAGUCAUCAUGGCCCUUACGGGUAGGGCUACACACGUGCUACAAUGGCCGGUACAAAGGGCUGCGAGCUCGCGAGAGUCAGCGAAUCCCUUAAAGCCGGUCUCAGUCCGGAUCGGAGUCUGCAACUCGACUCCGUGAAGUCGGAAUCGCUAGUAAUCGUGAAUCAGAAUGUCACGGUGAAUACGUUCCCGGGCCUUGUACACACCGCCCGUCACACCAUGGGAGUGGACUGCACCAGAAGUGGUUAGCCUAACGCAAGAGGGCGAUCACCACGGUGUGGUUCAUGACUGGGGUGAAGUCGUAACAAGGUAGCCGUAGGGGAACCUGCGGCUGGAU